rnacentral:rRNA from 1 species
GCCUCAGUAACGGCGAGUGAAGCGGCAACAGCUCAAAUUUGAAAUCUGGCUCCUUCGGGGCCCGAGUUGUAAUUUGCAGAGGAUGCGUCGGGUACGGGUGCCUUCCGAGUUCCCUGGAACGGGACGCCAUAGAGGGUGAGAGCCCCGUCUGGUAGGACACCCAGCCCGUGUGACGCUCCCUCGACGAGUCGAGUAGUUUGGGAAUGCUGCUCUAACGGGAGGUAUACUCCUUCCAAGGCUAAAUACCGGCUGGAGACCGAUAGCGCACAAGUAGAGUGAUCGAAAGAUGAAAAGCACUUUGAAAAGAGAGUCAAACAGCACGUGAAAUUGUUAAAAGGGAAGCGCUCGCUACCAGACUUGGGUUCGGCGGUUCAACCGGGGCCACGCCCCGGGGCAUUCCGCCGGCCCAGGCCAGCAUCAGCUUUCCGUCGGGGGUAAAGGCGUCGGGAAUGUGGCUCCCCUUCGGGGGAGUGUUAUAGCCCGUCGUGUCAUACCCUUCGGGGGGCUGAGGUACGCGCUUCUGCAAGGAUGCUGGCGUAAUGGUAGCUAGUGACCCGUCUUGAAACACGGACCAAGGAGUCAACCUUAUGUGCGAGUGCCCGGGCGUAAAACCCCAGCGCGGAAUGAAAGUGAACGUAGGUGAGAGCUUCGGCGCAUCACCGACCGAUCCUGAUGUCCUCGGACGGAUUUGAGUGAGAGCAUAUAGGGUUGGACCCGAAAGAAGAUGAACUAUGCGUGUGUAGGGUGAAGCCAGAGGAAACUCUGGUGGAGGCUCGCAGCGGUUCUGACGUGCAAAUCGAUCGUCAAACAUGCGCAUGGGGGCGAAAGACUAAUCGAAUCUUCUGGUAGCUGGUUUCCGCCGAAGUUUCCCUCAGGAUAGCAGUGUUGAUCCCAGUUUUAUGAGGUAAAGCGAAUGAUUAGGGACUCGGGGGCGCUAUAUUGCCUUCAUCCAUUCUCAAACUUUAAAUAUGUAAGAAGUCCCCGUUUCUUAACUGAACGCGGA